rnacentral:lncRNA from 1 species
AUUAAGCAAAAGCAGGCUAUGGAAGAGCUCCAAGUCACAGGCUAGCAGCUCUUUGAGUUCAUGCUGCUUUAGGAUAAAAAAAACCUCUAUUCCAUGUUGUUUUGAAGAGGGCUAUCCAGGAGAAUCCAAAGUGAAGCCCAGGAGUGAAAUCAAAAUUAAGCACGCAGUAAAAAGUUUCAAUACUCAAAUGAGAAUUUUGGUUCUUUUUUCUGAAGCAGUAAAGGUAAUGAUUUGUUAAGCAGUAAGGACAUGCCCUUUAAUUCCUAGGCAAAGGUGCCAGAGGAUACUGGGAUGAAAAACUGCAUUACUAUGAUGCGAGAUCUGUCUGCAUCUAUGCAUUGUCCCAAGAGGCUAAGGACUGGAUACCUCUGAAUGUGCAACACUACAUACAAAGGAUCCUUGAAGGUGGCCGAGGUCAUCACAGCAGACUGCAAACUGAUUGAAGCCUCUGAGGAGUUGCUCAGGACAUGGAUGCCAUUUUCUAAAGUUUUUCUAUGUACAUUUGCAAGCAGAGUGGUAAAUCUUGCCUUCGUUAUGAAGAAAAGAAUGGGGAUGGGAGUGAAAUAG